GGGUCUGUAGCUCAGCUGGUUAGAGCACCGUCUUGAUAAGGCGGGGGUCGUUGGUUCGAGACCAACUAGACCCACCA
rnacentral:tRNA from 1 species